CACACACACACACACACACACAGCUGUUUGAUUGUAAAAAUGAGUCUGAACUGUAAACUGAUUCAGAGACUAUUAUUUACAGUAAAGAAAUGAUCAAUUCAUCUAUUUUUGAAAAAUGGCUGUGAGUUUGUAUUUCUAUUCUGCAAUAUUCAUGAAAGAGGAGUCACAUAACUAAAAGACAAUUAAAUGAAAUUUAAAGAAAAGAUUUGUCCUCAAGAUUGCCACUGGGGAACAUUAAUUACUAAUAUAUUUCAACUUCCUAUAAGAAGAAUUACAGAUGCAAACUUCCACUGGUAGUUAGAUGAACUUAUUUCCCCCUCAUCACAAGUUUUGUAGGUCUAGGACUCUUUCUGUGGAAUCAAGCAACUUAACUGAUUUAUUACCCUUAGUUCAAAAAGGAUCCAACAGAUGACCCUUUAUUGCCUGACCCAUUUCAAAACUUCCUAUUCAAAACACUUUUCCUGAGUAAUACAGCACGCAGUACUUUUUUAAAAACUUUUUUAAUUUAAAUAAAAUUUUAAUUUAAUCAAAUAUAUAUCCAAAAUAGUAACAUUUCAGCGUGCCACCCAGUACUUGAAAAUCCUCAUAGACCAAAAAUACAUUCUCCUAAUGUAAGGAGCCCUUUAGAAGGGCCAAGCAGACCCAAUCCAGGUGCUGCUGGGCUAUGUCAAGUCUUGUCUCAUUUUCUUUCAUGGCAUAGCCUCCGAAGAAGAGAAAGUCAGGUCCACCUGAUCUCCUGCCUUAGUCUGGGCCUACUCCUGUCUCUCAUGGGCACAGCUUGGACAAGUCCGUGUGGGCAUCCACCCACUUGCCUGCACACACACACAUGACUUCCAUGAAACAAACCUCAUAACUUUCAGAAGAAGACUGUGAAAAUUUCCCUCUUCUCUAAUGACUCUCGCUUAUGGAAGAAUUACUUCACAUCAAAGAGGUGACCCACCUGGAGGAAGGAUUUUUCUUGAGCAACUCAAAGACUGAGGACACAUGUGGGAUCCACUUCUAAUUAUUCAAAAGGUUUCUCAGAUGGUGGUUCCAGGUUUUGUUGCGGCACGCAGGAUCUUUAUUUCAGGAUAUGACGACAGAGUCGGCAGAAAAACUGCAUCUUGUCUCAGCCUGGAGAGUGAAAUAAUCAAGAAGCACAAUCUGUGCUCCUCAGUGAGGACAAACAAAGUUUCUGAAACCAUCUGGGAACAAAAGAUCAUUAUAGAUUUAUCUGAAUGGAACCAAUAUGUCAUGUGGAUGGAGCCCCAUAUCCAGGGUGAUCAGGGUGUUUGGAGCACGUGGUCGGAUAUACCUGGCCUUGACGAAUGCUGGGAGACUGGAGGUUUUGGCCCUGACUCUGCCACUCACAACCUGGGUGAGACUGAGUAAUUCACUUCUUUCCUGGUCUUCCAUUUUCUCAUCUAUAAAUAUUAGGUUUGGGACAUUUUCUCUCUGGGGUACUCCAUUUUCUUUCUGAAGUAUUUGAUUUUUG
rnacentral:lncRNA from 1 species